UAAGGCUCAUUUUUGCACCAAGUUUUGCCUAUAACUUGGUCGAUGUCCAACGGAUCGCCAAUCUUUAACCUGUGGUCGAUAGAUGGCACCAAUGGCUACAUUUUCUUCUUGGACAGCCAUGCUCUCAGGUGUCCGUGCCGGAAGUUAUUCGAGGAACCAAGUUCCAUACCCUGUUGAGAAAAUGUAAAAUUUUCUCAUUUUCGCACAGAAUUUUGCCUAUAACUCGGUCGGUGUCCAACGAAUCGCCAAUCUUUAACCUGUGGUCGAUAGAUGGCACCAAUGGCUACAUUUUCUUCUUGGACAGCCAUGCUCUCAGGUGUCCGUGCCGGAAGUUAUUCGAGGAACCAAGUUCCAUACCCUGUUGAGAAAAUGUAAAAUUUUCUCACUUUCGCACAGAAUUUUGCCUAUAACUCGGUCGGUACCCAACGGAUCGCCAAUCUUUAACCGGUGGUCGAUAGAUGGCACCAAUGGCUAUAUUUUCUUCUUGGACGGCCAUGCUCUCAGGUGUCCGUGCCGGAAGUUAUUCGAGGAACCAAGUUCCAUACCCUGUUGAGAAAAUGUAAAAUUUUCUCACUUUCGCACAGAAUUUUGCCUAUAACUCGGUCGGUAUCCAACGGAUCGCCAAUCUUUAACCUGUGGUCGAUAGAUGGCACCAAUGGCUACAUUUUCUUCUUGGACAGCCAUGCUCUCAGGUGUCCGUGCCGGAAGUUAUUGGAGGAACCAAGUUCCAUACCCUGUUGAGAAAAUGUAAAAUUUUCUCAUUUUCGCACAGAUUUUUGCCUAUAACUCGGUCGGUAUCCAACGGAUCGCCAAUCUUUAACCUGUGGUCGAUAGAUGGCACCAAUGGCUAUAUUUUCUUCUUGGACAGCCAUGCUCUCAGGUGUCCGUGCCGGAAGUUAUUCGAGGAACCAAGUUCCUUACCCUGUUGAGAAAAUGUAAAAUUUUCUCACUUUCGCACAGAAUUUUGCCUAUAACUCGGUCGGUAUCCAACGGAUCGCCAAUCUUUAACCUGUGGUCGAUAGAUGGCACCAAUGGCUACAUUUUCUUCUUGGACAGCCAUGCUCUCAGGUGUCCGUGCCGGAAGUUAUUGGAGGAACCAAGUUCCAUACCCUGUUGAGAAAAUGUAAAAUUUUCUCAUUUUCGCACAGAUUUUUGCCUAUAACUCGGUCGGUAUCCAACGGAUCGCCAAUCUUUAACCUGUGGUCGAUAGAUGGCACCAAUGGCUAUAUUUUCUUCUUGGACAGCCAUGCUCUCAGGUGUCCGUGCCGGAAGUUAUUCGAGGAACCAAGUUCCUUACCCUGUUGAGAAAAUGUAAAUUUUUUCGCAUUUUUUAGCAAUUUAGCAAAAUUUAUAAAUGUGAUAUAUUUUCAAGCAAAUUUGUUGCAAUGCGUUUCUUUUCACUCAAAUAAUGCUUUAAAUUAAAAAAAAUAAUAAAAAAUCAGAAAAAAAUUUUAAAAAAAUUUUCGACUUGAAAAUUUCGUAAGGCUCACCCCUUAGGUUUUUUUUUGAGAAAUUUUGCAAAAAAAAUUAAAUUGAUUUAUUUUAAU